rnacentral:lncRNA from 1 species
GCCCAACCCAGGCCUAGCUGAGCCUCCCGGGACACUCAGAAGGCCGGAAGCAUCUCGCAGCUCGGAGCUCGCUUCGAAGC